rnacentral:lncRNA from 1 species
GGCGUUCGUGAUCAAGUGUUUGAAAGUACUAAUCUCAUACCUAGUAUGGGAUGGGGAAGCCUAGUACCUGAUUGAACUGGGGUGUGGCAUACCCUCCGGCUGUCCUUGGAACAUCGUUCCCAUGGUGCAUCAUGUGGGUGCAAGUGCGGUCAUAGUGCGGCAGAGGCCGGGAUUAUGGAGCAUUACAUGCCAAAGGCAGUUGGCCCUGACACGUGCCUAAGGGAUCGAUGGGGACGGCUGACAAAUGAAGCGACCCCUCGUGGUGCGCGGAUGUCAUGAGAUUAGGUUCGCCAUGCAUGGUUAAUAAAUUCGAAUCGAUUCGUCUACCUCUCACAGUUUG